rnacentral:rRNA from 1 species
GACGAACGCUGGCGGCGUGCUUAACACAUGCAAGUCGAACGGUAAGGCCCUUCGGGGUACACGAGUGGCGAACGGGUGAGUAACACGUGGGUGAUCUACCCUGCACUUCGGGAUAAGCCUGGGAAACUGGGUCUAAUACCGGAUAGGACCACUGCCUGCAUGGGUGGUGGUGGAAAGCUUUUGCGGUGUGGGAUGGGCCCGCGGCCUAUCAGCUUGUUGGUGGGGAUGGCCUACCAAGGCGACGACGGGUAGCCGGCCUGAGAGGGUGACCGGCCACACUGGGACUGAGAUACGGCCCAGACUCCUACGGGAGGCAGCAGUGGGGAGUAUUGCACAAUGGGCGCAAGCCUGAUGCAGCGACGCCGCGUGAGGGAUGACGGCCUUCGGGUUGUAAACCUCUUUCAGCACCGACGAAGCGCAAGUGACGGUAGGUGCAGAAGAAGGACCGGCCAACUACGUGCCAGCAGCCGCGGUAA